CGAGGGGAGUGAAAAAGAACCUGAAACCGUGUACGUACAAGCAGUGGGAGCACAGAGCAAUCUGUGUGACUGCGUACCUUUUGUAUAAUGGGUCAGCGACUUAUAUUCUGUAGCAAGGUUAACCGAAUAGGGGAGCCGAAGGGAAACCGAGUCUUAACUGGGCGUUAAGUUGCAGGGUAUAGACCCGAAACCCGGUGAUCUAGCCAUGGGCAGGUUGAAGGUUGGGUAACACUAACUGGAGGACCGAACCGACUAAUGUUGAAAAAUUAGCGGAUGACUUGUGGCUGGGGGUGAAAGGCCAAUCAAACCGGGAGAUAGCUGGUUCUCCCCGAAAGCUAUUUAGGUAGCGCCUCGUGAAUUCAUCUCCGGGGGUAGAGCACUGUUUCGGCAAGGGGGUCAUCCCGACUUACCAACCCGAUGCAAACUGCGAAUACCGGAGAAUGUUAUCACGGGAGACACACGGCGGGUGCUAACGUCCGUCGUGAAGAGGGAAACAACCCAGACCGCCAGCUAAGGUCCCAAAGUCAUGGUUAAGUGGGAAACGAUGUGGGAAGGCCCAGACAGCCAGGAUGUUGGCUUAGAAGCAGCCAUCAUUUAAAGAAAGCGUAAUAGCUCACUGGUCGAGUCGGCCUGCGCGGAAGAUGUAACGGGGCUAAACCAUG
rnacentral:rRNA from 1 species